rnacentral:rRNA from 1 species
GACGAACGCUGGCGGCGUGCUUAACACAUGCAAGUCGAACGGAAAGGCCCUGCUUUUGUGGGGUGCUCGAGUGGCGAACGGGUGAGUAACACGUGAGUAACCUGCCCUUGACUUUGGGAUAACUUCAGGAAACUGGGGCUAAUACCGGAUAGGAGCUCCUGCUGCAUGGUGGGGGUUGGAAAGUUUCGGCGGUUGGGGGUGGACUCGCGGCUUAUCAGCUUGUUGGUGGGGUAGUGGCUUACCAAGGCUUGGACGGGUAGCCGGCCUGAGAGGGUGACCGGCCACAUUGGGACUGAGAUACGGCCCAGACUCCUCCGGGAGGCAGCAGUGGGGAAUAUUGCACAAUGGGCGGAAGCCUGAUGCAGCAACGCCGCGUGCGGGAUGACGGCAUUCGGGUUGUAAACCGCUUUCGCCUGUGACGAAGCGUGAGUGACGGUAAUGGGUAAAGAAGCACCGGCUAACUACGUG